UACAGAGGUCCCGAGCGUUGUUCGGAUUCACUGGGCGUAAAGGGUGCGUAGGUGGCAGGGUAAGUUUGAUGUGAAAUCUCCGGGCUUAACCCGGAAACUGCAUUGAAUACUAUCCUGCUUGAGGGUUGGAGGGGGACUGGAAUUCCUGGUGUAGCAGUGAAAUGCGUAGAUAUCAGGAGGAAUACCGAUGGCGAAGGCAGGUCUCUGGGCCGUAACUGACGCUGAGGAGCGAAAGCGUGGGGAGCGAACAGG
rnacentral:rRNA from 1 species